rnacentral:rRNA from 1 species
AACGAACGCUGGCGGCAUGCCUAACACAUGCAAGUCGAACGAGACCUUCGGGUCUAGUGGCGCACGGGUGCGUAACGCGUGGGAACCUGCCCUUAGGUUCGGAAUAACUCCCCGAAAGGGGUGCUAAUACCGGAUAAUGUCUUCGGACCAAAGAUUUAUCGCCUUUGGAUGGGCCCGCGUUGGAUUAGCUAGUUGGUAGGGUAAAAGCCUACCAAGGCGACGAUCCAUAGCUGGUCUGAGAGGAUGAUCAGCCACACUGGGACUGAGACACGGCCCAGACUCCUACGGGAGGCAGCAGUGGGGAAUAGUGGACAAUGGGCGAAAGCCUGAUCCAGCAAGGCCGCGUGAGUGAUGAAGGCCUUAGGGUUGUAAAGCUCUUUUACCCGGGAUGAUAAUGACAGUACCGGGAGAAUAAGCUCCGGCUAACUCCGU